UACGAAGGGGGCUAGCGUUGCUCGGAAUUACUGGGCGUAAAGGGCGCGUAGGCGGCCCUCCUAGUCGCGUGUGAAAGCCCCGGGCUCAACCUGGGAACGGCGCGCGAAACGGGGGGGCUGGAGUUCGGGAGAGGAGCGUGGAAUUCCCAGUGUAGAGGUGAAAUUCGUAGAUAUUGGGAAGAACACCGGUGGCGAAAGGCGGCGCUCUGGACCGAGACUGACGCUGAGGCGCGAAAGCGUGGGGAGCAAACAGG
rnacentral:rRNA from 1 species